UGAAAAACAAACAAAUCCUGAAAACAAAUACAACCAAAAAACGCUGCAUUUACAGAAAUGAUGCAAACUAAAUACAACACACAAACCCCCGAAAACAAACGCAACAAAAAAAAAGCUGCAAAUAUCAAAACGACAUGCAAAGUCCAAAGCACACACAAAUCCCAAAACACAUACAAAAAACAAACAUUCCGGAAGUGCUCCAGGCCUCUAGGGGGCGCGCUACGUGGAACAGAUUGAUGUCUGACUAGACAUAGAGAGAACGAACAAGAGUGCUGCAAAUUGAAGCCGGAGGAAACAAAGUUGAUCGAAGUGGAGAAAGUUGAUAUAUAAGAAGUCAGUCAUUUGUGUGUAUGCAGGUGUGGGACAUUCCAAAUGUUCCAAAAGUGAGCACUCCACGAAUGGACAACAGUUUGCCAGGACCUCUCCGGCACCCACAACCAGCGUCUGAUCGGGAUGGAGCACCAACCCCAUUCCAGGAAGAGGUCCAGCCUGCCCAGGGUCAGAAACACUUCUAUAGCACAGAACAUCUGACUGCAGAGGACAUUGUUGCAAAACUCUCUGCAAAAAUAACAAAUACAUCUUGCAGCAGGUUCAAUAUGAAUAGAGCCAAUGUGUGGGGAUGGAGCAAUCCGCGGCUUCAAAGGUGCC